rnacentral:rRNA from 1 species
AUUGAACGCUGGCGGCAGGCCUAACACAUGCAAGUCGAGCGGUAGAGAGGAGCUUGCUUCUCUUGAGAGCGGCGGACGGGUGAGUAAUGCCUAGGAAUCUGCCUGGUAGUGGGGAUAACGUUCGGAAACGGACGCUAAUACCGCAUACGUCCUACGGGAGAAAGAGGGGGAUCUUCGGACCUCUCGCUAUCAGAUGAGCCUAGGUCGGAUUAGCUAGUUGGUGAGGUAAAGGCUCACCAAGGCGACGAUCCGUAACUGGUCUGAGAGGAUGAUCAGUCACACUGGAACUGAGACACGGUCCAGACUCCUACGGGAGGCAGCAGUGGGGAAUAUUGGACAAUGGGCGCAAGCCUGAUCCAGCCAUGCCGCGUGUGUGAAGAAGGUCUUCGGAUUGUAAAGCACUUUAAGUUGGGAGGAAGGUCAGUAGCUUAAUACGUUGCUGAUUUGACGUUACCGACAGAAUAAGCACCGGCUAACUCUGUGCCAGCCGCCGCCGUAAUAC